rnacentral:lncRNA from 10 species
GUCCGCGUCGGCGAUCCGGGGUCUGGGCGCGGCGAGGUCUGGUGUGGCAGAUGUGGAUAGCUGGACCCUCCUGGGUGCCUCUGCGUUAUGUCGUUUGGUUGAUGCAUUUGGAGAGAAUCUGUGCUCUCCACAACUGCAGGGGCAACAUGCUUUCCUGGCCUCUUCAGAUCAGGGUGGCUGUUCUUGGGUGCUGCACCAAAACUCCAGCAGUGGGCUUUCUUCAAGUGGCCGGCUCACCUCAUUCCUGCCAAGACCCAGGUCCGUGUUCUCACAGUGCUGCCAUCUUUCCUCCGUGUGAGCGUGGGCUGUGCGGAGAGUGGACCUCGGUGUGUGCGGGGCUGCGUGCACUGCCAUCGCUCCCUCUACACGAGCCGGCGUGGACCCAGGGCUGAGCUGUGACCACGAGGGCCAUCCCGACGAGCCGCCAUGGACCCAGGGCUGAGCUGUGACCAUGAGGGCUAUCCCGACGAGCUGCCGUGGACCCAGGGCUGAGCCGUGACCAUGAGGGCCAUCCCGAAACUGUGAUUGUUUUCUGAAUGUGGAAGCGUCGGCCGAGCGCGGUCCUUGGAGAACCCUUGCUGCGGAGAAUGACGCUCACUCUGCGGCCUGGCCUCGCCUCCCCAUCCCUUCUGCAAACUCACAGGACAGGAUUGAUGGGGAGAGCCCAGGCGAAACGAAGCUGACCCUAGUGACCAGCCCUACUGGCGGCUCUGGAACAGGCCCGGGACCGGUGGCCUGGAGACAGUGGUCCUUUCUGGAUGGGCUGCAGUCUCCGAAGGCUUCCCCCACUGGAGUCAGCCCUUUAGGAGUUUGUCCAGUGCCUCCAGAAAGCUGUUUUUUGGGGGACGGAGGACUUGGCCUGGAAUUCUGGAAUUCCCAGGGGGUCAGACAUGGUUAUGGGAAGUUUAAUAAAACCGGUGAAUCACGUGAA